rnacentral:rRNA from 1 species
UGCCAUCAGCCGCGGUAACACGGGGGGCGCAAGCGUUAUUCGGAAUUAUUGGGCGUAAAGGGCGCGCAGGCGGUCUUGUCCGUCAGGUGUGAAAGCCCUGGGCUUAACCUGGGAAUUGCAUUCGAUACUGCAUGGCUAGAGUAUGGUAGAGGAUAGUGGAAUUCCUGGUGUAGCGGUGAAAUGCGUAGAUAUCAGGAGGAACAUCAGUGGCGAAGGCGGCUAUCUGGACCAAUACUGACGCUGAGGUGCGAAAGCGUGGGGAGCAAACAGGAUUAGAUA